rnacentral:rRNA from 1 species
ACUCCUACGGGAGGCAGCAGUAGGGAAUCUUCCGCAAUGGACGAAAGUCUGACGGAGCAACGCCGCGUGAGUGAAGAAGGAUUUCGGUUCGUAAAACUCUGUUGUUAGGGAAGAAUGAUUAUGUAGUAACUAUACAUAAUAGAGACGGUACCUAACCAGAAAGCCACGGCUAACUACGUGCCAGCAGCCGCGGUAAUACA